rnacentral:lncRNA from 1 species
ACAAUACGUAAGGAAUAGAAAGACAACAAUAAAAUUCCCAUCCCGUUACGUAUCAGAGCACCUAAAGACACACAUGAGAGCUAAUCCACUCACAACAGCAAUCUAACAGCAACUUAAACUCGAUCACCUGCAAGUUACUCAUACGAAGAGCAACAUUUUCAAGCAGAAGGGGUGAGAUUUCACAAAACAAUAAUAUCAAGCAUAUAAUUCAAUAAUUAUAUUUAACAACAUAAAUAACUU